rnacentral:lncRNA from 1 species
CUGCUGCUACUCUCAUUUCACAGAUGCGGCUACAGAGAGGUUAAGCACCUCCACGUUCACACAGCUAAUAAGCCACAGAGCAGGGCUGAGAACCGGCGUUUCCAGAGCCUCUGCUGUGGGGCCACACGGAGUUCCCACCAACCCUGCAGUGCAGCUCUUCCCCGGUGGGAACGGGAGCCCAGAACUCUGCACCUGCGCUGCUGGCACCAACAGGGGCCAUAAAAUGUCACCACUGCCGAGGUGCAAUUUUCAAGAGGGUCCUCGGUGGCGGGGAAUCACCGCGCGAAGGGCCCACGGCUCAGUGCGGGGCUGGGGGAAGCUGCGACAGCGAGGAGGCCUUCCGACCUCCUUCCCUUCGAGCUUCUGAGCACCCCCCUUCCCCCGCUUUGUAAACCAGCAGUGGCACGUGGUCCGAGCUUCCCGAGGGGUGGGUCGGGGGUGCUGCAUCAGUUACUUCAGCCUGAGGAGCUUUUGACCAAACGUAAACAUCGCAGGGACCGGAGCCGCAGCCCCGCCCGGGCUCGGCGGCGACAGCGACCCGGACGCCGCGGCGGCUGCGAGCGCCCCUCCCCCCUCCGGCCCGCGAGCCCAUUUUCGCUUGGCCGGUCCCAGCGCUGCGGGAUGGAUCGCGCCCCACCCCCGCUCCUCUGCUCA